rnacentral:rRNA from 1 species
UACGUAGGGGGCUAGCGUUGUCCGGAAUCAUUGGGCGUAAAGCGCGUGUAGGCGGCCCGGUAAGUCCGCUGUGAAAGUCGGGGGCUCAACCCUCGAAAGCCGGUGGAUACUGUCGGGCUCGAGUACGGAAGAGGCGAGUGGAAUUCCUGGUGUAGCGGUGAAAUGCGCAGAUAUCAGGAGGAACACCGGUGGCGAAGGCGGCUUUCUGGACAAAAACUGACGCUGAGGCGCGAAAGCUAGGGGAGCAAACAGG